UUGAUUUAAGUGGAACGUGUAUAAAAGAGCUUCCAUCAUCAAUUGAGUUUUUAAAACAACUCGUUGAUUUGCGGUUAGUGAACUGUGAAAACUUGAGGAGUCUUCCGAGCAGCAUUUGUAGGUUGAAAUACCUUCAAGAACUUGAUCUCUCUUAUUGUUCAAACUUUGAGACUUUUCCGGAAAUCAUGGAGGUUAUGGAAUGCUUAGAGUCGCUUCAUUUAAAUGGAACGUGUAUAAAAGAGCUUCCAUCAUCAAUUGAGUUUCUAAAACAUCUCGCUUAUUUGUGGUUAGUGAAGUGUGAAAACUUGAGGAGUCUUCCAAGCAGCAUUUGUAGAUUGAAAUACCUUGAACAACUUGAUCUCUCUGAUUGUUCAAACUUUGAGACUUUUCCGGAAAUCAUGGAGGAUAUGGAAUGCUUAAAGUGGCUUGAUUUAAGUGGAACGUGUAUAAAAGAGCUUCCAUCAUCAAUUGAGUUUCUAAAACAUCUCGCUGAUUUGCAGUUAGUGAAGUGUGAAAACUUGAGGAGUCUUCCGAGCAGCAUUUAUAGGUUGAAAUACCUUGAAAAACUUAAUCUCUCUGGUUGUUCAAACUUGGAGACUUUUCCGGAAAUCAUGGAGGAUAUGGAAUGCUUAAAGUGGCUUGAUUUAAGUGGAACGUGUAUAAAAGAGCUUCCAUCAUCAAUUGAGUUUCUAAAACAUCUCGCUUCUUUGCGGUAGUGAAGUGUGAAAACUUGAGGAGUCUUCCGAGCAGCAUUUGUAGGUUGAAAUACCUUGAAGAACUUAAUCUCUCUGGUUGUUCAAACUUGGAGACUUUUCCGGAAAUCAUGGAGGUUAUGGAAUGCUUGAAGUCCCUUAAUUUAAGUGGAACGUGUAUAAAAGAGCUUCCGUCAUCAAUUGGAUAUUUAAAUCAUCUUAUUUAUUUGCAUUUGAGCCACUGCAAAAACUUGAGGAGUCUUCCAGGUAGCAUUUGUUGGUUGAAAUUGCUUAGAAAACUCAAUCUCAAUGACUGUCCAAACCUAGUCACAGGGGACAUGGAAAAUUUAAUAAAUCUUGGUUUAUUAGAAACUCAGAAUAUGAUGGAUGGAGUAGCCCCAAGUGAUUUAUGGUGCCUAUCCUUGCUGGAAGAUUUAGAUCUAAGUCAAAACAGUAUGUGUCACAUACCUAUUGCUAUUACUCAACUAUGUAAUCUGAGACGCCUUAAUAUCAGUCAUUGCAAGAUGCUUGAAGAAAUUCCAGAGCUUCCAUCAAGUCUAAGAAAAAUAGAUGCACAUGAUUGCCCGAUCUUUGGAACUCUAUCAAAUCCA
rnacentral:lncRNA from 1 species